rnacentral:rRNA from 1 species
CAAACGACUCUCGGCAACGGAUAUCUCGGCUCUCGCAUCGAUGAAGAACGUAGCGAANUGCGAUACUUGGUGUGAAUUGCAGAAUCCCGUGAACCAUCGAGUCUUUGAACGCAAGUUGCGCCCGAAGCCACUAGGCCGAGGGCACGUCUGCCUGGGCGUCACGC